rnacentral:rRNA from 1 species
CCCUUAGAUGUUCUGGGCCGCACGCGUGCUACACUGAGUAAAUCAAUGGGUAAGGGAACACGAAAGUGCAACCUAAUCUUCAAAUUUGCUCGUGAUGGGGAUCGACGGUUGCAAUUUUCCGUCGUGAACGAGGAAUACCUUGUAGGCGCGUGUCAUCAUCACGCGCCGAAUACGUCCCUGCCCUUUGUACACACCGCCCGUCGCUCCUACCGAUUGAGUGAUCCGGUGAGGCUCUGGGACCUGGACGGAAAGAGCGUUUCGCUGUUUCUGCUCGGAAAACUCAGUCGAACCUUAUCAUUUAGAGGAAGGAGAAGUCGUAACA